UUCUUUACAGCAUCUGAUCGUCCGAUUCAUCUCUUCUCCAGACGCUGCGUUUAUUCACUUUUGUGUGCAUUCCAUCUCUCGCUAGUCGCUACACAAGAACAAUCAAUCAUCCCUUGUGGUCGAUCUCUGAGUUGAAGGUACUGUUUCAAUCUCUAUUCCCAAUCCCUUCGAUCGACUUUUACGUUAAAUACGACCGAAAUAAUGAGAAAAAUUUCACUAUCUAGGGUUCGAGGAUACAGAAAAUUGCACUUUACCUGAAACUCAUAAGACUCCUUGGCUUAGUUGAUCUGAGUUUUCAAAAUGUCGUUUUCUUUUCUUUUUCUUGGUAACCAGGGUCGGAUUUCACUGUGAGUGUUUCUAUAAGUUGGAUAUGCUGUUGCUGGAGGUUUUCAAUUCUAGGGUUUCUGUUUGAACAGGCGUGGAACCAUUGCCAGUUUGGAUUAGAGCUCGGACAGAAGUUUUUGUUAGAUUAACGGUCUUUGAUAUUUGGGAAUGUUUGGAUGCAGAGAAAAUAUGAAAAAAAAAAAGUAAUUAAAAUUCUGAAUAGUAAAAUCUUCACUAUCAAUGAUUUUAAUAACGGGGCCUUUUCCUUUUCCUCCCCCCACUUCUUCUUCCUUUUUUUUUUUUUUCCCCUGUUUGGGAAGCAAAAGAUGAGAAAUAGGGAAAAUAAUUGAAAUAAAA
rnacentral:lncRNA from 1 species